UGUUAUUGUUAGUUUCAGACGCAGCAAGAAAGUUGCUAAAAUGGCUACGAAACGGACCUUUGGAUGUCAAGCAGCUAAGACAAGAAGAGUUCUGAUGCUGGAAGAGAGGGUCAAGGUGUGCAACUCGGCACGUGUGAAGGUGUUGCAGGGCUUCCAGUAUAUCUCGGAUAAAGAAGGCCACCUGUUCCUCCAUCAACUCAUCAUGAGCGACCAAGUAGUCAACUCCAGAAUCAGCAUCACUGAGGUGGGGGACUCGUAGGUAUCCAACAGUGCCACCAGCUGGUGGUUCUGCACAUGAUGCAGGAUGUCGGCCUCAUGAGCGGCCUGCUCCUUCUUCUGCAUUUUCUUGCUCACGAACUUCACCGCCACCUGACAAUGACACAACAAGAAAUUAAUCUCCAUCUUUUAACAUAAAAAGACAAUAAACAUCAUUAUUCAUAGGUCACUCGAAUGAGUGAUCCGGAUGACGGAUGGUCAUGUUGCUCACGCUGCUGUCGUGUUUACCUUUUGGCUUUGACAUGAUAGUGUUUUGGCAAAGUGGUUCUUUGUCUGCCUCAUUUGUCUGCGAAGUCAUUAACUGAAAAACUGAGGGGACUACCGUGUUAAUUAACAGAGAUGGUUAUAUUCAAUUAUACAAUGAUAUUCAUUUAUGUGAGGACACUGAUCAUGCUAAUGAUUUCUUACAAUCACUAGAAAUGUAAGCUAUUUAUCAAAUGGUCCUGCGGGCUACCAAUGUGGCCCUUGGGGGCUACCUGGUGCCUUUUUUUUUUGCACCCAACACAAUGAUCUUGAGUAACACAUUAAAAAAAUGGAUUGUAAUAGCCAAUAAAUAAGAAAAA